ensembl:lncRNA PPP5D1P PPP5 tetratricopeptide repeat domain containing 1, pseudogene
AUCCCUCCGCGCCCCGCUCCACACCUACGGGCCCGCGAAUCUCUCGUCCCCACCCUGCACAGGAAUUGGGUUUGCCGCCGGGCGCGCGCGCGCUCGCUCCCGUCGCCGGACUACUUUCCCUCGCCGCGCGCCCCGCCUCCCGGGCCCACUUCACUUUCUUCGGCGGAGGGGCACAGCUCGGCGGUGCGUGACGCGUCCCUCUGUGAGCCGCGUCACUAUUGGGCCUGGCCCAUGGCGGAAAUGAGAGCUUGGCGCCCAUUGGUCCGACCUUCCCUGCAAUGCGUCAAACUGGGGCGAGCCACUGCAAGGUGGUGGUGGGUGGUCAAGGUGAAGCCCCACGACAAGGAUGCCAAAAUGAAAUACCAGGAGUGCAACAAGAUCGUGAAGCAGAAGGCCUUUGAGCGGGCCAUCGCAGGCGACGAGCACAAGCGCUCCGUGGUGGACUCGCUGGACAUCGAGAGCAUGACCAUCGAGGGUGAGUACAGCGGACCCAAGCUUGAGGACGACAAAGUGACAAUCACCUUCAUGAAGGGGCUCAUGCAGUGGUACAAGGACCAGAAGAAACUGCACCAGAAAUGCGCCUACCAGGGUCUUGCUCUAUCACCCAGGCUGAAGUGCAGUGGUACGAUCACAGCUCACUGCAGCCUCAACCUCCUGGGCCCACGUGAUCCUCCCACCUCAGCAUCCCAAGUAGCUGUGACCGAAGGCAUGCACCACCACACCUGGCUAAUUUUUUUAUUUUUAUAGAGAUGGGUCUCCCUAUGUUGCGCAGGCUGAUUUCAAACUCUUGGCCUCAAGCAAUCCUCCCACCUUGGCCUGGGGAUUACAGGCGUGAGCCACCAUGCCCAGCCUCCGUGUCUUUACAUUUGAGAACAAUUUGUAGGUUAGCUUUGUCUUUGUUUUUUUAGAGAUGGGGGUCUUGCUGUGUAGCCCAGGCUGGACUCAAACUACAGGGCUCAAGGCAUUCUUCAUCUCAGCCUCUUGAGUAGGUUUGACUACAGUCAUGUGCCACUGUGCCCAACUACCUUUGUCCGGGUUCCUAGGAAUUCUCCAGAAGGCAGAAUGAGUACAAAGAAAACACAGGCAAGUUUCUGUUAAAGAGUUACCUGUGGCCACAGUUCCUCUGGAAGUUUAACAUAGAGUUACCAUAUACUAUGCUAUCGCCAUCCCCAAAUUCAUAUGUUGAAGUCUUAACUCCCAGCACCUCUGAAUGUGACUGUAUUUGGAGAUGGGGGUCUUUAAAGAGGUAAUUAAGGUAAAAUGAGGCCGGGUGCUUUGGUGGCUCACAGCUGUAAUCCCAGCACUUUGGGAAGCUGAGGCGGGCAGAUACCUGAGGUCAGGAGUUCGAGACCAGCCUGCCCAACAUGGUGAAACCCUAUCUCUACUAAAAAUACAAAAUUUGCCUGGCGUGGCGGCAUAUGCCUGUGAUCCCAGCUCCUUGGGAGGCUGAGGCAGGAGAACUGUUUGAACUAGGGAGGAGGAGGUUGCAGUGAGCCGAGAUCAUGCCAUUGCACUCCAGCCUGGGCAACAAGAGCGAAACUUUGGUUCAAAAACAAACAAAAAAAAAGUAAAAUGAGGUCCCAUGUGUGGGCCCUUAAUCCAACCUGACUGGUGUCUUUAUGAGAAAAGGGGACCAGGACACAGCCCCAUGCAGAGGGAAGACCAUGUGAGGAUACAGGGAGAAGACGGCCGUCUGCACAGCCAAGGAGAGAGGCCUCAGGAGACACCAACCUAUCCAACACCUUGAUUUUGGACUUCUGGCCUCCAGAAUUGUGAAAAAGUUAAUUUCUGUCAUUGAAGCCACCCAUUCUGUGAUAGUUUGUUACAGCAGUCCUCAGCGCGUAGAAUACGAUGCCAUUUGUAUGGCAGACAGUCUCAUUGU